CCUACGGGGGGCAGCAGUGGGGAAUAUUGGGCAAUGGGCGCAAGCCUGACCCAGCAACGCCGCGUGAAGGAAGAAGGCUUUCGGGUUGUAAACUUCUUUUGACAGGGAAGAGCAGAAGACGGUACCUGUCGAAUAAGCCACGGCUAACUACGUGCCAGCAGCCGCGGUAAUACGUAGGUGGCAAGCGUUGUCCGGAUUUACUGGGUGUAACGGGCGUGUAGCCGGGCUGACAAGUCAGAUGUGAAAUCCGGGGGCUCAAACCCCGAACUGCAUUUGAAACUGUUGGUCUUGAGGAUCGGAGAGGCAGGCGGAAUUUCUAGUGUAGCGGGGAAAUGCGAAGAUAUUAGGAGGAACACCAGUGGCGAAGGCGGCCUGCUGGACGACAACGGACGGUGAGGCGCGAAAGCGUGGGGAGCGAACAGGAUUAGAUACCCCUGUAGUC
rnacentral:rRNA from 1 species